CUACGGAGGAUGCAGGCGUUAUCCGGAUUUAUUAGGUUUAAAGGGUGCGCAGGCGGUUUUUUAAGUCAGUGUUGAAAGUUUGCAGCUUAACUGUAAAAUUAGCAUUGAAACUGGAAGACUUGAAUAUGGUAGAGGUAGGCGGAAUGUGUAGUGUAGCGGUGAAAUGCUUAGAUAUUACACAGAACACCGAUUGCGAAGGCAGCUUACUAUACCAUUAUUGACGCUGAGGCACGAAAGCGUGGGUAGCGAACAGGAUUAGAUACCCCAGUAGUCC
rnacentral:rRNA from 1 species